rnacentral:rRNA from 1 species
ACCGAUAGUGAACCAGUACCGUGAGGGAAAGGCGAAAAGAACCCCGGCGAGGGGAGUGAAAAAGAACCUGAAACCGUGUACGUACAAGCAGUAGGAGCCCCAUCACUCAAGUGCCUCGCACUGAGUGAUGCAAGAACAUCACCGAAAAUAGCGCCGAAUUUGCUAACAAGGUUGGUCGAUUUUUUCAAGCCGUCGCGCAGUGUACCUAGAAGUACACGAGCAACGGAAGUUAAAAAAUCGGGCAAGAUUGAACGCAAAGGCAAGCGGGACAUUUGAGGAUGGGGUGACUGCGUACCUUUUGUAUAAUGGGUCAGCGACUUAUAUUCUGUAGCAAGGUUAACCGUAUAGGGGAGCCGUAGGGAAACCGAGUCUUAACUGGGCGAAUGAGUUGCAGGGUAUAGACCCGAAACCCGGUGAUCUAUCCAUGGGCAGGUUGAAGGUUGGGUAACACUAACUGGAGGACCGAACCGACUAAUGUUGAAAAAUUAGCGGAUGACUUGUGGAUGGGGGUGAAAGGCCAAUCAAACCGGGAGAUAGCUGGUUCUCCCCGAAAGCUAUUUAGGUAGCGCCUCGUGAACUCAUCUUCGGGGGUAGAGCACUGUUUCGACUAGGGGGUCAUCCCGACUUACCAACUCGAUGCAAACUGCGAAUACCGAAGAAUGUUAUCACGGGAGACACACGGCGGGUGCUAACGUCCGUCGUGAAGAGGGAAACAACCCAGACCGCCAGCUAAGGUCCCAAAGUCAUGGUUAAGUGGGAAACGAAGUGGGAAGGCUCAGACAGCCAGGAUGUUGGCUUAGAAGCAGCCAUCAUUUAAAGAAAGCGUAAUAGCUCACUGGUCGAGUCGGCCCGCGCGGAAGAUGUAACGGGGCUAAACCAUGCACCGAAGCUGCGGCAGCGA